rnacentral:rRNA from 1 species
CGGAGGGUGCAAGCGUUAUCCGGAUUCACUGGGUUUAAAGGGUGUGUAGGCGGGCUGUUAAGUCAGUGGUGAAAUCUCCGGGCUCAACCCGGAAACUGCCAUUGAUACUAUCAGUCUUGAAUACCGUUGAGGUGGGCGGAAUAUGUCAUGUAGCGGUGAAAUGCAUAGAUAUGACAUAGAACACCAAUUGCGAAGGCAGCUCACUAAACGGUCAUUGACGCUGAGGCACGAAAGCGUGGGGAUCAAACAGGAUUAGAUACCCUGGUAGUCCACGCCCUAAACGAUGAUUACUCGACAUACGCGAUACACAGUGUGUGUCUGAGCGAAAGCAUUAAGUAAUCCACCUGGGAAGUACGUCCGCAAGGAUG